rnacentral:lncRNA from 1 species
AUGGGACACAAAGAAAAUAAACAAAGCGAGCUGGAACCGAAGCCGCGCGUCUCAAUAGAGCUGCCAGGUUCCCUUUCAAAACAUCAAACGAAAUGUCAAACUAAACUUCUUAAGAAAUCGCUGAGUGUGGUGCAAUCAUCAUGCUGGCAAUUAAUUAUAAAAGACAACCAGGACUCAAGCAGGAGCGGUCACACUUCAACAGCUGAAAGUUACCCUGUUACCAGUGAUGAAACACCAACCAUGCAUUUCUCACCAAACAGAUUUAAUGGGUACUCUGGUGUGGAAAAAUGUAAUAUCCAGAUUUCUGUCAUGAUUUGA